CGCUUCUAGUAGGCCAAACUCCCAGGUGACCCCCGCAAGAAACGCGGUCCGGAGAGGGUCUGGCCCCACUGCUGGGGCAAGGGCUCUAGGCGCCCGGACCCCACGCCCGCAGCCUGCGGAGAACGUGCCGACAAGGACCUGUAGGGCCCCACUCCCCCUCCUCCCUCCCUCGGCGCAGCCCGGCCCAGGGGUCUGUCCUCCCAGGCCCAGGAAAGGAGGAAACCCACUUCCGCCGCGUCCAUGAUCUCCCGCGGCUUCUCCUGACUCUUGCGGCUGGCGCUGGCGCUGGGCAUCGGGACACGGAACUGGGCAGUGGACACCACCCUCCCUCGCAGGCUUCCAAAGUAAUUUGAAGGCCUUCCCUGACUUAAAGUGGAUGCUGCUUUGGAAAGCACUGGAAAAAUGGAUCCUGUCUUUCUUAGCCAAGGACUGGUCUCUUUUCUCCAAUGUGUCCCUAACAGAGUGGUGAGGCUGGCUCUUCCCACCAGUACAGGAAGAUCAUUCCUUAAAAGAAAUAGCCAUAUGGCUUAUAAGGGACUAUAUCUUAAGACUAUGUGUCUUCUGCAGUUCUUUGCAUAGAGUCAACGUUGAAGGACAAGCAACUUCAAAUUUCCAAGCAACAAAAUUAUGUUCGGGUGGUUUUCUGAAAGCGAGAUCUUAAGAACCACCUGUAUCAGAAUCCCAUGAAGAGCUUGUUUAGUGUGCAAAUUUACAGAUUGUCCCCCCUCAGAAAUGCUCAUUUAGGAGUUCCUGUCCUUUGCGGGGACAUGGAUGAAGCUGGAAACCAUCAUUCUCAGCAAACUAACACAGGAACAGAAAACCAAACACUGCAUGUUCUCACUCAAAAGUGGGAGUUGAACAAUGAGAACACAUGGACACAG
rnacentral:lncRNA from 10 species